CCAACGCCGGCUGGAGACGCGUGUGCCACCAGCCCUGCUCCAGGAACGCCCCAGCAGCAGGAUCCAGAGCUCCAGCUUCAUCCCUGGGCCCCCAGCAUGGACCUGGGAGAGUGAGGGACACUGCUUUGAUUUACAGGUCCAAUGUUCUGAGAAUUUCUUGCAUUCUGGACUCCAACAGGAUACCUGCAGGCACCAGGAGGGGAGAGGGGUGAGACAGGAGCACACCAAGGGCUUUCACAUCACCCACAGCAGGCAGUGCAUGUUCAUCACUCCAGUCCCAGCCAAGGAGGGGAGCACCGGGAGUGGUGCCACAGGGCUUGGGGCAUUCCCAAAAGCGAGACCCUCCUCUCUCUCCCUUUUCCUUCAUGCUGCCCUUGUGUCAGAGGCUGGAAAGAUUGAUGCCUGGAGAUGUUUUGGGAUGCAGGUGCCUGGGGCAGGGGCAGUGCCCUGCUCCUCACACCCCACCCCUCUGGAGCCUGCAUCCCAGCCCUGCAGCAGUGCCAGUGGUGGGCACACAGGGAAAAAUGCUCCACACCUGCCCCUGGAGACCCUGACCCAGCUCCUGAGUGGCAAAGUGACCACAGGUCCCAGCUGGGAGAAGGGCUCAGGAAGGCCACGGGGUAUUUAAGGCUGAACACAAGGCCAUCAUGUUUAUCCAGACCCUUCCUCUCCUCCAUCAUCGCUGGAACCCAGGAGCUGGUAGCUAUGUGUGUGAUUUUCCAUACUUUUUUCUCUCUCUCCUUCUUCAAAUUCCUCUUCUUGGAAUAUUUUGAGUAACUUAACAUCAAAUAGGCUUAAUAUUUGCUAAGUUGAAUGGGCCAAGUUAAUGCUGUGAGAAAUGUUUUAUAUUGAUUGAAUGUUGUACCAAACCUUUUGCCAAACUUUUGCUGAUUUUCUGAAUUUUGUCGGUAAAGUCUUUUGUGUUGUUUUGA